rnacentral:rRNA from 1 species
UACGUAGGCAGCGAGCGUUGUUCGGAUUCACUGGGCGUAAAGGGUGCGUAGGCGGUCGGGUAAGUCUGAUGUGAAAUCUCACAGCUUAACUGUGAAACUGCAUUGGAUACUAUCCGGCUCGAGGAAUGGAGGGGAGACUGGAAUACUUGGUGUAGCAGUGAAAUGCGUAGAUAUCAAGUGGAACACCAGUGGCGAAGGCGAGUCUCUGGACAUUUCCUGACGCUGAGGCACGAAAGCCAGGGGAGCAAACGGG